rnacentral:rRNA from 1 species
AACGAACGCUGGCGGCGCGUCUUAAACAUGCAAGUCGAACGAUCUGUAGCAAUACAGGGAGUGGCGGACGGGUGAGGAACACGUAGGAAUCUACCUUGAAGAGCGGGACAACUUUGGGAAACCGGGGCUAAUACCGCAUAGUACAGAGAUGUUAAAGGGCUAGCAAUAGUCGCUUCGAGAUGAGCCUGUGGUCUAUCAGCUUGUUGGUGAGGUAAUGGCUCACCAAGGCUACGACGGAUAGCCGGUCUGAGAGGAUGAUCGGCCACACUGGCACUGAGACACGGGCCAGACUCCUACGGGAGGCAGCAGUUAAGAAUCUUGCGCAAUGGGGGAAACCCUGACGCAGCGACGCCGCGUGAAGGAUGAAGGCUUUCGGGUUGUAAACUUCGGUAGACUGGGAAGAAGAAAUACGUUCGUUGAGGGCGUAUAGUGACGGUACCAGUCUGAAGCCCCGGCUAAUUACGUGCCAGCAGCCGCGGUAA